rnacentral:rRNA from 1 species
CCUACGGGUGGCAGCAGUGGGGAAUAUUGCACAAUGGGCGAAAGCCUGAUCCAGCAACGCCGCGUGAGUGAUGAAGGCCUUCGGGUCGUUAAGCUCUUUUCUCAAGGAGGAUAAUGACGGUACUUGAGCAUGACGCCCCGGCUAACUACGUACCAGCUGCCGCGGCAAUACGUAGGGGGCUACUGUUAUCCGGAAUUACCGGGCGUAAAGGGGGCGUAGUUGGGUUCUUAAGUCAGAGGUAAAAGGCUACGGCUAAACCGUAGUAAGCCGUUGACACUGGGAAACUUGAGUGGAGGAGUGGAGUGCGGAAUUCGUAGUGUAGCGGUGAAAUGCGUAGAGAUUAGGAAGAACACCGGUUGCGAAGGCAGCUUUCUGGCCUGUAACUGACACUGAGGCACGAAAGCGUGGGGAGCAAACAGGAUUAGAUACCCCAGUAGUC